rnacentral:lncRNA from 1 species
CCUUUGCUUCUGUGAGUCUUUGUUUACUCCUUGGUUUUGAUUGUUAUUGUCUUUCUUCAAUUUCCAUGGCAUUCAUAGAACAAAUAAUUAACAAAAUUGGAUAAUAAUUCAUGAUGUCCUGAAUCAAAGACUUUAAUUGAACACUAUUUUUUAUAGGAAUUGACAAUGGUGUUAUUUUCUUUUACUGCAUCCAAUGAAAAGGGGUAUGUCAAAUACGUAAUUCUAAAUGUAACAAAAUUGAGAAAUGUUUCAACAAUCCAUGUUCCUCAGAAAACACAUUUUCUAUAUUAUUACUGAUUUAUUUUAUAUACUAUUCAUCCCUGUGUCAUGACUUUUUUACAGGAGGUUUGUAUUCUAAAUCU